AUACGGAGGGUGCAAGCGUUAAUCGGAAUUACUGGGCGUAAAGCGUACGUAGGCGGUUCGUUAAGUUAGGUGUGAAAGCCCCGGGCUUAACCUGGGAACUGCAUUUAAAACUGGCGGACUAGAGUUGAGUAGAGGGGAGUGGAAUUUCAGGUGUAGCGGUGAAAUGCGUAGCGAUCUGAAGGAACACCAGUGGCGAAGGCGACUCCCUGGACUCGAACUGACGCUGAGGUACGAAAGCGUGGGUAGCAAACGGGAUUAGAAACCCUAGUAGUCC
rnacentral:rRNA from 1 species